rnacentral:rRNA from 1 species
CGGCCAGACUCCUACGGGAGGCAGCAGUGGGGAAUAUUGCACAAUGGGGGAAACCCUGAUGCAGCGACGCCGCGUGAGUGAAGAAGUAUUUCGGUAUGUAAAGCUCUAUCAGCAGGGAAGAAGUUGACGGUACCUGAGUAAGAAGCCCCGGCUAACUACGUGCCAGCAGCCGCGGGAAUACGUAGGGGGCAAGCGUUAUCCGGAUUUACUGGGUGUAAAGGGAGCGUAGACGGCAGUGCAAGUCUGAAGUGAAAGCCCCGGGCUUAACCCGGGAAUUGCUUUGGAAACUGUACGGCUGGAGUGCUGGAGAGGUAAGCGGAAUUCCUAGUGUAGCGGUGAAAUGCGUAGAUAUUAGGAGGAACACCAGUGGCGAAGGCGGCUUACUGGACAGUAACUGACGUUGAGGCUCGAAAGCGUGGGGAGCAAACAGGAUUAGAUACCCGAGUA